rnacentral:lncRNA from 1 species
UUCCUUAGCACUAGUGAGCAAAAAGCCAAAAUAUAGAAAAAGCAUAUGCUCAAAGGCCUUCGGUCGAUGCAGUCAUUUAAAACUAGUUAUUUGAUUUUUAGGCAUGUGUCAGUUAGCCGUUCAACUCCGAACCAUCGUCAGAAUCACAAUUGACAAAGUGUCCAAUCAUCGUAUAGGAAAUCUUGCCACUCAUAAUGUCACUUUGAGAAAUACGGAUGCUAUCACAUCUCUCAUAAUAUAGUGUCCAAAAGUUUCCU